rnacentral:lncRNA from 1 species
CUGUUUUGGCGAGGUAAAAUGACUCAUAUCUCCUCUCCAGAUGUCAUUUAAUUUUGUUUGGCAUGCAGUUGUACCCAUAAACUGCAUCAAUUCAUUAUUAGAUGCAAAUUUCAUAAUAGUUUGUAUUGUACAUCCAUAUCCUUUCACUGUUGUAAUAAGCAGUUCAUGGGAUUUUGAUUUGUUUUUGUAGAACAUUUCCGAAAUAACAUUGCAGGCUAGAGUUUCGAAAAACC